rnacentral:snoRNA from 1 species
GGGUCAAUGAUGAGUACUUAAUAUUGCCUUGAGAAUUGGUGAUGACUUGAAUAGCAUGUACAAUGGCAUGAUGCUGAGGCCC